CGCGGCCUAUCAGCUUGUUGGUGGGGUAACGGCCCACCAAGGCUUGGACGGGUAGCUGGUCUGAGAGGACGAUCAGCCACACUGGGACUGAGACACGGCCCAGACUCCUACGGGAGGCAGCAGUAAGGAAUAUUGCGCAAUGGGCGAAAGCCUGACGCAGCAACGCCGCGUGCGGGAUGAAGGCCCUCGGGUUGUAAACCGCUUUCAGUAGGGAAGAAAAUGACGGUACCUACAGAAGAAGCCCCGGCCAACUACGUGCCAGCAGCCGCGGUAACACGUAGGGGGCAAGCGUUGUCCGGAUUUAUUGGGCGUAAAGAGCUCGUAGGCGGUUUCGUAAGUCGGAUGUGAAAACUCCAGGCUCAACUUGGAGACGCCAUUCGAUACUGCGAUGACUUGAGUCCGGUAGGGGAGUGUGGAAUUCCUGGUGUAGCGGUGAAAUGCGCAGAUAUCAGGAGGAACACCGGCGGCGAAGGCGGCACUCUGGGCCGGUACUGACGCUGAGGAGCGAAAGCGUGGGUAGCAAACAGGAUUAGAUACCCUGGUAGUCCACGCCGUAAACGGUGGGCACUAGGUGUGGGAUUCACUCAACGGAUUCCGUGCCGCAGCUAACGCAUUAAGUGCCCCGCCUGGGGAGUACGG
rnacentral:rRNA from 1 species